UACAGAGGUGGCAAGCGUUGUUCGGAAUUACUGGGCGUAAAGGGCGCGUAGGCGGCCUUCUAAGUCGGACGUGAAAGCCCCAGGCUUAACCUGGGAACUGCGUCCGAUACUGGAAGGCUUGGAUUCGGGAGAGGGAUGUGGAAUUCCAGGUGUAGCGGUGAAAUGCGUAGAUAUCUGGAGGAACACCGGUGGCGAAGGCGGCAUCCUGGACCGAGAUCGACGCUGAGGCGCGAAAGCUAGGGGAGCAAACAGG
rnacentral:rRNA from 1 species